GGUUUGAGAGGAUUUGAUAAAUAUGAAGAUUGAUAAAAGAAUUAGGAUUGAAAGUUAUGUAUUUUAUAAAAUUAUGACUGAACUACUUGAACGACUACUACUGAACUAAACUAACGAAACUACUGAACGACUAUUUUAUACUGAAGAUCUGGUAUGUUAACAACAGAUCUUCAAAGCCAAACCGAAAAUUUUUUAUUAGCUUGUUUUUUGUGUUUUUAUUUUGUUUCCCGAACUGAUCUCUGUUUACAACAGAUCUUAAAUCAUAAGAAAAAGUCAUCAGAUUUACUAGGCAGAAAUGCUAUGACUUUUCAUCCAGAGGAAUGGAUUGAAUUUGAUCCACUCUUCAGAAAAUUUAUAUGAAGGAUUCAGGCCUGAUUCACUAGUCUCCAUCCUUUCUAGUCUAGCUUCAUUCCUGUGGCCAGCUUGUAAUUGAGCCUUAAAUGGCCUGCCAUUUAAUAAUCAGCAAAUAAUUAGGAAGUUUUGUUAAAAAAAUACACAAUGCUUAUUGGCCUUUCAAAAAUAUAUUAAUACUAAUGAAUUUAAUUUUCUAAUAAAUGAGUCAUUACUUUUGCAAUUUAUAAAAUGUUAUAUUAGUGUAUUGGAAAUAUACAGAUUUUACAUGAUAAUUAUUAAAUUUAUUA
rnacentral:lncRNA from 1 species